AUGCCUAUACCUGAUUGGUGUUCUCUUCCACUAGUUCUUGCAAAUUAUCACUUGCUUCUGGGUCGUUUCUUCCUUGAACUCUCGAUGUCGUCACUGGAUCAUGAAUUCCGUGAGUUAUGGUUCCGAUUGAGGCUUCGACUUGAAGUGGAUGGUUUAAAAGAUAAGGUUGUAGCGUCGCGGUUUAUGGUGGUGACCUGUAGUAGUUAUAGCCACAAGUAUUUAAUCAGAGGCGAAGAGGAAAGAAGGACCUCGCCGCGUUCGAUUCUGAGAAGAAGAGGAUCGUCAAAGAGGUUGUUGGUUUUAUGA